CCCAUUUUGAUAAACCUUGGGACCGUGCUCCCCCAAAGAGCAAGUGUCACUCAUAUAUUCUGGUGUCAGAGGCUCCCCGCGUCGGUCGGGGCGUUGGGCGGCAGACGUGUGGAAGUUGUCUGUGCUCAGGUGACAGUGGCCGGGAGGUCUCCCCGCGACGCGCACCGCAUCGGGGCUGCCCAGCGACUGCGGCGCCCGGGACGGCGAGACGCCGCGCUCUCGGACACCUGGCCGCGCGGCCCAGCUUCCCUGCGAGGUUGCAGCCCCGGGGGCACCGCCCACGAAGUUCCAGUCUUCAGAGGGAUCAAUAGGGUUCACCCAACCUGAACAGAAGAAAGAAAACAUGGACGUGUGGGAGAAGGACCAAAGUGCUAGCAUUUUUAUUGUUGGAAGCCCAGAAGACAUUGGAAAAGAGGGACAAAAAAGUUCUAGAAGCUGAGAGAUGUCGUGACUAUAAGAAGAAGCAACGUGUUUUGCCUCUUUAUUGCAAAGUAAUAGAAAUAAUAAUGGGCUAAUGAUGAUGAUGGCUGAAGUUUCCUGACAACCUCAGUGUGUGCUAGGUCCUGUGCUGAGCACUUUAUACAUACUUCUGUCCAGUGGAGCAUAAAAGAAACCUGUUGCGCUUCUCAGAAGAGGUCUACUCAUCAUUGUCGACAGAGAGGCAUGUGAGAAGUCCCAAUUCAGAGCAGUGACAGCCAUUUUUACCCUGGGAAGGCUGAUGAAGAGAGUUCCAGAGAUGCUGGAUAAUAUUUCUGUUGUUGUUAAACUUAGUCGAUGGACAGCCCACCUCCAGACUUCUUGUCAACGGAAUAAUGAACUUUUACAUGAUUUAAGCCAGUUUUUUUUUUUUUUUUCCCCUUGUAAGCAAAAGCAUUCCAAGUGAUACAAGUGGGCUAAGCCUUUUAGGGCCAUUACCUUAUUUAAUCUCAUGGCAGUCCUAAGAAGUAGGUCCCAUCACUUCCCUACUUCUUAGGACCCCAUCUGCAGAUGAGUAAACAGGUCAAGAGAGCUUAUGCACCAGAUCCAAAUCACAGACUCUUAGCAACUCUGUGAUGAUGUCCCUGUUCUGCCUGAGGCCCUGAACCACCUGCGGUCAGGGAGCAUCAGUCACUCUCCCCUGUACCUCUAGGGGGCAGGUGGAUCUCCGGAAAGCCAGUGGAAUGAUUACUAAAGGAAUGAAUGCUCUAUUUUUCACUCCCCAGUUCACUCUAUCCUUUUUUCCAUAUUUGUAUCAAGCCAAUAUAAGACCCUGGUCAAGGGACGAUGCUUGCAAACUAAUAGAAAUAGUAACAAUGAUGAUGGUGAUGUUUCUCUAUGGUUCCAAACAGGCCCAAUGGAAUAAAAAAAUAAACUCCAAAGAGUUGUUUAUAUCUAUAGCAGUUUUGUAAUUUUGGAAAAUGUAAGAAGCCCUUGCCCUGUCAUUACAUAUUCUCAGGGGGCAGCUGUGGUUAGGGACACUCGGGUGUCAAGACUUCAGAGAGAUCGGUAAGUUCUGUCACAAGUCUUUGACAAUACUCUGCCACUCAAAAGCUCUCCUCAUACCCAAAUUUACCUAAACGGUGUCUUAGAUGAAGUUGGCACAAAGUUUUCAGGCUAACUCCCCCUCCCUUUUUCCCCCUUGU
rnacentral:lncRNA from 1 species